UAUGGGGUAAUAUGGAGCGCUAUGGGGUAAUAUGGAGCGCUAUGGGGCCACAUGGAGUGCUGUGGGGCAACGUGGAGCUCUAUGGGGUUAUAUGGAGCGCUAUGGGGGCACAUGGGAUGCUGUGGGGCAACAAUGAGUGCCAUGGGGUGAUAUGGAGUGCUAUGGGGUCACAUGGAGUCCUAUGGGGCAAUAUGGAGCGCUAUGGGGUUAUAUGGACCGCUAUGGAGCCAUAUGGAGCGCUAUGGGGUAAUAUGGAGUGCUAUGGGGGCCACAUGGAGUGCUAAGGGGUAAUAUGGAGUGCUAUGGAGUAAUAUGGAGCGCUAUGGGGUUAUAUGGAGUGCUAUGGGGUCACAUGGAGCGCUAUGGGGUAAUAUGGAGCGCUAUGGGGUAAUAUGGAGCGCUAUGGGGUAAUAUGGAGUGCUAUGGGGUCACAUGGAGUGCUAUGGGGUAAUAUGGAGCGCUAUGGGGUAAUAUGGAGCGCUAUGGGGUAAUAUGGAGCGCUAUGGGGUAAUAUGGAGUGCUAUGCGGUAACAUGGAGUUCAAUGGGGCAGCACCGGCCCCAUAGCAGCCCCUUCCCCAUAGGGCACCCCACCCUAUGGCACCCCCUGCCCCAUAGCAGCAUCUGACCC
ensembl:lncRNA